GGGAUGGAGGGGGCGGGGCCACCUACCAUCGGUGAGGCGGUGCUUAUGGGAGAACUGCGUAGCGAAGGACUUGAGCACGGAGAGCAAAGGCCCCGCCUCCACGCCGGGGCUCUCCAUCCAGAAAGAACGUCAUUCAGUCCCAUUAUAUUUGAGAGAAGACCGACAUUUCUACGACUGAUAUCUCCAAAACUAGACAACUCCCAGCAGAACAACAUAGAUGGACAGAUACCACUAAAGCCCCUUCAGUUUUAAGGUGAACUGCCCCUUUAAAACCUCAGGCUACCUUCAAGUUUGAGAUGAACAGAAACCCAACUAGUGCCUGACUGUGUCAGAAGCACCUGCUGGUGAUGGAAGCCCAGUGGGCGGAGCCUUACCUAUCUUCUGGGGGUUAAAGGCAGCCACCACAAGCAAGAGGAGCCAGGCCUUCCAGUACAGCGUCGAGAUGGCCAGGUUCGGGGGCUGGUACCUUAAAGGAACAGGCAGGAUCCGCAUGACCACACCAGGAGCAGGAGUCCUGCCCCACACCAAUGCACCCCACUGCGAGGACCUACCCUGCCGGGAGCUGGAUGUUUUCUGGGUGGUGGUAAGUGCACAGGUUGAGUACAGCCUCGAUAAGCUGGAUCCUCUCCACCCUCAGCACCUCAAGAUCUACAGGGAUGGGACAGACACAUUCGGGGCCUGAAUUCUCACUUUGAACAGUGUCUAAGAGCGCUGCGUGUUCUACAGGAUGGAGGAAGGGGGAUAAGAGAGUCAUGUGACCAGGGGGGAAGGGCCCCGCACCGUCGGACUGCACGCCGGCGGCCCUCUUCACUAGGUGGUCCGCCAGCUCCAUGGCAUCGGCAGGGCCUAGGGGCAGCUCUCGGGACAGGCCGAUCACCAGGAUGCGCAUCAGCGUGUCCUCCAGCAGGGGCACCUCCGAGCAGAGGCGCAGGAAGAAGCUGCCGUGGAGAACCAGGUCAAGACGGUCAAAGGAGCACGUCCACGCUUAGCCUGUACCAUGUCCUCAGAUGACAGCGCUCCUAGGGCACCCACAGCAUCCCUACGGCACCCCGCCUCAGAACAGCCCUUUGGGGUGGGGGUACUUACUUUCUGUCGCUCUCUGGGGGCCAGUUGUCCCACUUGUAGUACGUCUCUGGCUGCUCUGUGAAGAGGACCUUGUGGAGACUGGGGAAGAGAGAUGGACGCACUUGGUGGGUCAGAGUCAGGGCCAGGGUCAGACCCUAUGACUACCUGAGGCCGACCCUCCUCUUUGCGGCACGCCUACCAGUGGACGUAGUCCUUGGGGCCCACUUUGCUGAUGGUGGGCACCACCGUGUGGAGCCACCACACUGCGUCCCUCUGGAUGGCGGCUAUCUGGUUUUGGAAGGAACGCAGCACCUCCAGAUCUGCGGGAAGCAACAUCCAGGUGAUGAAAACCCACCUGGGCGAAGGUCUCGGACUAAGCCAGAGUGAUUCAGGAAACAGGCCGCAGGUCACAGAUCUGUAACAGGAAUGAUCACGACCUUCGACCUCUGGAACCUGCUGCGCCCUUUGUCAGACGUUAAAGCUGUAGUUUCGUACUGUUUAUUAGCACCUACGUCUUAUUUGUGGAUCAUUAAAUUUGUCGUACACACAUUUGUAGUACUGUCCAAAGGCUAUCUGUGGACGUGCUGCAAAAGUGAUUUUAUGUACAAAAUACUGCGUAAUUUGUGCUAAUCCACUGAUAUUGCUAACAAUGGCUAACAAUUAACUGGGCUAGAACUGGGAGCUGUUUCUGAAAGCAGGAUUUCUUGCUUAAGCGGACUGCUUGUCAGAUUUAAGGUAGUUUGGGAUAAAUGUAAGUGAAUGAAGAUAAAAUUUAUUUAUACUGGAUUAAAUCUAACAAGUUUUCCGGCUAAGCAUGAAAUCUUGCUUUUUGAAACAGGUUCCUGGUUUUGCCGAAUGGCUUUCCAAGUUGCUUUACUGGAACGCUGUUAACAUGUCGGACGUCAUUCCCAGUUCCGACCUUGAAGUUAAAUGGAAACGCAGCAUAGUACCCAUCAGCGCUCAGCACCGAGGUAGAUAGAAGCCAAAACUUACUCUUCUUCUCUCCUUUGUCCCAGGCGAUGCCGGCCUCUUUCACCUGGGCAGUAAUGCCCAGCAUCAUGGAGACCGUGAGGAGGUCCGUCACCUGGAUGACAAAGCGCUCCUGUGGAAAGGGAGACCCAAACUGGUGUGUGUCUAUGGAGCGCGGUCUGCGCUGAGCGAAGCCGGCUUCACCUUAAACUCC